rfam:Oryza sativa Japonica Group DNA, chromosome 1, cultivar: Nipponbare, complete sequence.
AAAUAGACAAACCCUAUGUUUCUGUGUCUAACUUUGACUGUCCGUCUUAUAUGAAAUUUUUUUAUAAUUCAUAUUUUCAUUGUUGUUAGAUGAUAAAACAUGAUUAAUAUUUUAUGCAUGAUUUGUCUUUUUAAUUUUUUUCAUAAUUUUUUCAAAUAAGAUGGACGGUCAAACAUUGGGCACGGAAACCAGGGUGUCAUUUUUC